rnacentral:rRNA from 1 species
UACGUAGGCAGCAAGCGUUGUUCGGAAUUACUGGGCGUAAAGAGUGUGUAGGCGGUGCUCUAAGUUCGUUGUGAAAUCUCCCGGCUUAACUGGGAGGGUGCGGCGGAAACUGGAGUGCUUGAGCGCGGGAGAGGAAAGCGGAAUUCCUGGUGUAGCGGUGAAAUGCGUAGAUAUCAGGAGGAACACCUGCGGUGUAGACGGCUUACUGGACCAUAACUGACGCUGAGGCACGAAAGCGUGGGUAGCAAACAGG